CAGCAGCCGCGGGAAUACGAAGGGUGCAAGCGUUAAUCGGAAUUACUGGGCGUAAAGCGUGCGUAGGCGGUUUGUUAAGUCUGUUGUGAAAUCCCCGGGCUCAACCUGGGAAUGGCAAUGGAUACUGGCAAGCUAGAGUGUGUCAGAGGAUGGUGGAAUUCCCGGUGUAGCGGUGAAAUGCGUAGAGAUCGGGAGGAACACCAACGGCGAAAGCACUCUGCUGGGCCGACACUGACACUGAGAGACGAAAGCUAGGGGAGCAAAUGGGAUUAGAUACCCGCGUAGUCCCUGUCUCUUAUAC
rnacentral:rRNA from 1 species